CUCGGAGUUUUGACAACGUC
rnacentral:snRNA from 1 species